rnacentral:rRNA from 1 species
UGGGGAAUAUUGCACAAUGGGCGCAAGCCUGAUGCAGCCAUGCCGCAUGUGUGAAGAAGGCCUUCGGGUUGUAAAGCACUUUCAGCGAGGAGGAAGGUGGUGAGCUUAAUACGCUCAUCAAUUGACGUUACUCGCAGAAGAAGCACCGGCUAACUCCGUGCCAGCAGCCGCGGUAAUACGGAGGGUACAAGCGUUAAUCGGAAUUACUGGGCGUAAAGCGCACGCAGGCGGUUUGUUAAGUCAGAUGUGAAAAUCCCCGGGCUCAACCUGGGAACUGCAUUUGAAACUGGCAAGCUAGAGUCUCGUAGAGGGGGGUAGAAUUCCAGGUGUAGCGGUGAAAUGCGUAGAGAUCUGGAGGAAUACCGGUGACGAAGGCGGCCCCCUGGACGAAGACUGACGCUCAGGUGCGAAAGCGUGGGGAGCAAACAGGAUUAGAUACCCUGGUAGUCCACGCUGUAAAACGAUGUCGAUUUUGGAGGUUGUGCCCUUGAGGCGUGGCUUCCGGAGCUAACGCGUUAAAUCGACCGCCUGGGGAGUACGGCCGCAAGGUUAAAACUUAAAUGAAUUGACGGGGUCAUAGCUG